rnacentral:ncRNA from 2 species
CUCUUAUCAAGAGAGGCAGAGGGACUAGGCCCUAUGAAGCCCGGCAACCUUUCAAAAUCCGUUUGAAAAGGUGCUACAUCCUACAGGUCAUGUGGAUCUGGAAGAUAAGAG